CCGUCCCACUGGCCUGCUCAGGAACAGCUUCUUGGUGUACUGGAAGAUACCUGCAAGCCGCCGAGACGCCGGUCAAGGGCACAGAUUCGAGGCUGGGAGUUAUUUAAGCGCCCGAGGUAGCAGGCUCUGCAAGCCCCUGCCUCUGUCUGCCCACGGGAGGCGAAGGAGAAAGUAAAACGCUACCAAAAUAACAAAAAAAAAAA